AAAUUGAAGAGUUUGAUCAUGGCUCAGAUUGAACGCUGGCGGCAGGCCUAACACAUGCAAGUCGAACGGUAACAGGAAGCAGCUUGCUGCUUCGCUGACGAGUGGCGGACGGGUGAGUAAUGUCUGGGAAACUGCCUGAUGGAGGGGGAUAACUACUGGAAACGGUGGCUAAUACCGCAUAACGUCGCAAGACCAAAGAGGGGGACCUUCGGGCCUCUUGCCAUCAGAUGUGCCCAGAUGGGAUUAGCUGGUUGGUGAGGUAACGGCUCACCAAGGCGACGAUCCCUAGCUGGUCUGAGAGGAUGACCAGCCACACUGGAACUGAGACACGGUCCAGACUCCUACGGGAGGCAGCAGUGGGGAAUAUUGCACAAUGGGCGCAAGCCUGAUGCAGCCAUGCCGCGUGUAUGAAGAAGGCCUU
rnacentral:rRNA from 2 species